GCGCCUGUAGCUCAGCUGGAUAGAGCAGCGGACUUCUAAUCCGCAGGCCACAGGUUCGAGUCCUGUCAGGCGCGCCA
rnacentral:tRNA from 1 species